AACGCACCUUGCACUCUUUGGUAUUCCGAAGAGUAUGUCUGUUUGAGUGUCAUGAAACUCUCAACCCCCCUAUUUUGUAAUGAGGUAGGUGCUUGGGUUUGGAUUGUGGCUGUUUGCUGGCUUUAGAGUCGGCUCGGCUGAAAUAUACGAGUAACCUCCUUUGUUUUCAAGCGGUUUGACUCGGCGUAAUAGCUUUAUUUCGCUGAGGACGCAUUGAUGUUACAAUAUUAUGGUGCUUCUAAUGAAACUUUUAAUUAAGCUUUAAGACCUCAAAUCAGUCAGGAUUACCCGCUGAACUUAA
rnacentral:misc_RNA from 1 species